AUAUUGUUUUAGAAAGUUGUUUACAAAUCUUUAGAGAAACUUUAGAUCUAGUUUAUAUAUAUAUUUUGGUGAGCUACAUUAACUAAACAGCAAAAUUCAAAUUCUUUGCCCGGAAGAUUUGAAAUAUAUUUCGAUAUUUUUUUUAACUCAUUUGAUCAAUAUGGGUGGCAAUUUUUUCGGAUUUCUAAAAGAGUUUCGAAGCUACAACAAGGAUUUGACACCUGUAGAAAGUGCGAAACAGGCAGGUUCCGUAUGGCGUCAAAUGUCAGACCAUCAAAAAUUACAAUAUACUUUUGAAAAAAGGGUCAGGAAAGUUCAGAAAUGCAGUCGAUGUGGUCAAAAGAUAAAAAAGAAGCGACGCGGACCAAAACAGAAGCGCAAAAUUUCUGCAACAAAAAAAAUUGACUAUAUUCCGAAGAGCAAAGCGACCAAAAAUCGGCAGAAACGCCGUCAAAAUUUCUAUUAAUAAUAUUUUAUGGAGGACUGGCUAAACAAAUUGGUGGCAUUAAAAAACUAAAAUUUCCAGUCCGUGACGCUAGCCACAAAUUAUUUGGCGUCUUAUUGUGAAAUCGUACUUUCAGUACGUAAAAGUAAUUUGCUGAAUUUUUAUUUUCUGUGCUAACAAAAAAAAAUCUAAUCCAUUGUGUAUUGUGAAAAAUUCAUUCACAUUUGCCUCUGCCUGUAUCCGAUAACAUUCUGUCCACUCCCGUCCAAGCCGAAAAUCCUCCAUUUAUGGUAAAAGAUGGUCCUAUAGAUUCUACAUAUGUGUUACUUUGACUUACACCCGAAGAGUUUAUUUUAUUAAAUUAUAGAAGAUACCCAACGAAAGAAAUUCUAAUUGCAUUAUGUAUAAUAUACAAUAUAUUGUGAAUAUUGUCCACCGUUUUAAGUGAAAAAAUUCCACAAAAAAAAAAUGAAGGUUAAUUUGAUUCAAAUCAUUGUAAAAUAAACAAUGAUGCCCCCACAAAUAAAAACAAUUAAAUUCUACUAAUGAAGAUCCUUCUAAUAUUUUAGUAUGCAUAUAGUAUACAUAUAAGUACAUGAAAAAUAUCAUACUGAAAAAUUUAAAACUAAAUUUAUAUGAAACAAAAUUUAGAAAGAAAACGAAAAUUGGAGCUUACAAAACAAUUUACAGUAAACAAACUCAAAAAUUUUGAGUAAAUGUAUUUAUUAAAUU